UGCUCAGCCUGCACGUUGGCUGCACCUGGCUCGCCACGGUGGAGCGGGAGAGGGUGUUCCCGGAGUCUCUUCUGGCGCCCACGUGGUAGAGAGGAGGGAGACUUAAGAAUCGGCUGCAGAGUUGGGGGAGCAAUUGUUGGAGGUGGAGCAGUUUCUCCCUGCACUAGUGGCGUCCCUGCCUCAGUUUCCUGGUUCUGAAGUUGCUCGUGGUGGCAUAUGACUUCUACACCCAACAUGAGUGACAUUUCCUGCAAAAAACGGGAUGACUAUCUGGAGUGGCCAGAGUAUUUCAUGGCGGUAGCCUUCUUGUCAGCUCAAAGAAGCAAGGACCCAAGUUCCCAGGUGGGAGCCUGCAUUGUGAAUACGGAAAACAAGAUCGUUGGCAUCGGGUACAAUGGAAUGCCAAAUGGGUGCAGCGAUGAUCUGUUGCCUUGGAGGAGAACAGCAGAAAAUAAACUGGAUACUAAGUAUCCUUAUGUGUGCCACGCCGAGCUGAACGCCAUCAUGAACAAGAAUUCGGCUGACGUGAAGGGCUGCAGUAUGUACGUUGCCUUGUUCCCGUGUAACGAAUGUGCUAAACUCAUCAUCCAGGCAGGUAGGAGGCGGGCCUUCGCAUUUGUUACCUCUGCAUUGGAGCCUGCGGAGCUGCAGCUCCCGUGCAGGUAUAAAAGAGGUUAUUUUCAUGUCGGAUAAAUACCACGACAGUGAGGAGACAACGGCCGCCAGGCUCCUGUUUAAAUUGGCUGGGGUUACGUUCAGAAAAUUCACACCGAAGUACAGCAAGAUUGUCAUUGACUUUGAUUCGAUUAAUAACCAACCGAGUCAGAAGCCUUAAUGAGUUUCAUCUUGUUAAAGCCCCAGAAGAAGAUAACACACACACACACACACACACACACACACACACACACACACACCACACACAAGGGCUCCCCAAGCCUUUCAUCUUGAAAUCCCACGUAACUUUUUAAUAGUACAGCACACAGACAUCUAAAGAAUAUGAAACUUUAAAUCUUCCCUACCUUCAAGUGGAUCUACAUGUCUCAGCUGUUGAUGUAGUUUGGAAACUGAGGGACGGUCCACGGGAACUGGAGUGAAGGUCUCUCCACCUCCUCAGAGCCUGUCUGCCUGGAAUGAAGAUGGUUGUACCAGAGAGAGUCAGCUCUGUCAUCCAAUGAAUUUCGACAGCCGCUCCUUGCUGCCACACGGGCUAGAAGGACAUACAAAUAAUUGUUUCUCGUUCUUAGCAGGGAUGAGCAGGCACACUGAUGUGAACAUCUGGCCCAAAUGAAGCAUACCCUAUCACGCCCUUGGAAAAACAAAUAGGACCAAACGAAGCUAGCGUGAACCUAUCUGCUACAGGGGACCUCUCACCUGGUCACAGGUGACCUCAACCUGUGCCCUCCUGGUUGAAGAGGGCACGUGUCCUGGUACAUGAUCCCCUCAGUACAUUGUCCCCUCAGUUCCUACUUUCCUGCCUCACAAAGAACAGUAGCACACUAUCCCCCUGGGGGGUAGAGGACCCCUGCCGUUCCAGCUUCUUAUCCUUGGUUUGUUGGCCACAUAGCACUGUAAAAUUUAUCCGAGGAAUAAGUAGUUCCUAGAGGAGACAGCUUAUCACUCCCCCUAGACCAGGCACUGAGCAGUGACAGCUGGAGCUGUAUGGAUGGGUGGUGUGGGACGUCCCCCAUCCCGUGUCUCCUACUGUGUGGACACAUGUCACUCCUGUUAUACACACCAGCGUGGUUCAUUUCCAAGGGUGCCCUACAAUCAGGGAGCACAUUAAUUCCUGUCCUAUAAGAGGAUUGUGGGAAACUCUGGGUACCUGGAGGUGGUCCAUGCCAGACCUGCUGGGAUGCCCCUCAUUUGUGCCUUCAGCCACACAGGCAGCAUCCUCCUAGUGCCCCGUUGUGGGGUGCCCCACUGUGUACUGUUUUUAAUUUCAUGUAACUUCUAGCAAACAAGCUCAAUGUCUUUGAUAGAAUAGUUUCUUUAUCUUAAAGACUGUUCCCAUUUUUAUGGUGCUUGUUUUUUUCAUGGGUUUUUAUUUGGUCUCUGAGGUUUUUUUUUUU